ensembl:snoRNA small nucleolar RNA SNORA9
UCGCAAGCCUUCCAGCAUGGCUGGGUCUGCGCUGUGACCCUGAUCAUUCCUGCAGUGCUUGCCAGAGCAGUUGUGAGAUGGUUUGAGGGCCCCCUCUGCCCCGACUUCGGAGGGAGGUUAUAGAAAUCUCGGCCAAGC